UCUCGGCCCACGCGCCCGCCGUCUACCCGCUGACGCCCUGCUCCUGCGCCGGGGACAACGUCACCGUGGCCUGCUCCGCCGCCGGCUUCUUCCCGGAGCCGCUCGAGGUGACGUGGGCCUCCGCGCCGCCCUCCGCGGUGGCCACCUUCCCCGCGGCCUGGGCGCCCGACACCUUCUACCAGCUGGUGAGCAGCCUGACCACCACGGCGGCCAACGGCCAGGCGGGCGGCGUGGCCUGCACCGUGCGCCACCCGGCCACCGACACCAGCGUCACCAAGAGCUUCAACGACGUGUGCCCCGUGCCCACCAUGGUGACCAUCCUGGUCCACGACGACGGUGAGGACAGCGAGGAGGUGCAGCUGGUGUGCGUGACCGAGGGCCUGGCCGAGCAGGCCCAGGUGCAGUGGCUGCAGAACAGGGAGCCGCUGGAGGCCCAGGACGAGGCCUUCUGCGGCCGCUGCUCCGACGGGCGGAGCCUCCAGUGGAGCCGUGUCUCCAUUGGCCGGCGGAGCUGGGAGCAGGGCGUGGAGGUCACCUGCCGCGUGUCCAGCGCCGGGCUGGAGGAGCCCAUCGAGGAGAGCAUCAGGAACACGUGUCCAGACGGCCCCGUGCAGAUGCCCCAGGUCUACGUCUUCCCCCCGGCGGCGGAGGAGCUGGCGCGGGAGGAGGCGGCCACCUUGACGUGCCUGGUGACCAGCUUCCGGCCCAAGGACGUGCUGGUGACCUGGACGCAGGGCGGGCAGCCGGUGCCCAGCGGCAGCUACCAGGUGUUCGGCCCCGAGGAGGACGCGGGCGGCUACACGGUCUACAGCGCGCUGCGGACGUCGGCGGCCGCGUGGCAGCGGGGCGACGCGUUCGCGUGCGUGGUGGCCCACGAGGGGCUGCCCAUGACCUUCGUGCACAAGGGCCUGGACAAGAGCGCGGGUAAAGCCACGGCCGUCAACGUCUCGGUGGUGCUGGCCGACGCCGACGUCACCUGCUAUUGA